GGAAUGAUGAUGACUCCCAAAAUGCAUUCCUUGGAAACUGAACAAAAUGAGUGAGUCAUCUCUACCAUCUCAUCUCAUUUUACUGAAGUCA
rnacentral:snoRNA from 1 species